rnacentral:rRNA from 1 species
AUUGAACGCUGGCGGCAGGCCUAACACAUGCAAGUCGAGCGGCAGCACAAGGGAGUUUACUCCUGAGGUGGCGAGCGGCGGACGGGUGAGUAAUGCCUAGGGAUCUGCCCAGUCGUGGGGGAUAACAGUUGGAAACGACUGCUAAUACCGCAUACGCCCUACGGGGGAAAGGAGGGGACCUUCGGGCCUUCCGCGAUUGGAUGAACCUAGGUGGGAUUAGCUAGUUGGUGAGGUAAUGGCUCACCAAGGCGACGAUCCCUAGCUGUUCUGAGAGGAUGAUCAGCCACACUGGGACUGAGACACGGCCCAGACUCCUACGGGAGGCAGCAGUGGGGAAUAUUGCACAAUGGGGGAAACCCUGAUGCAGCCAUGCCGCGUGUGUGAAGAAGGCCUUCGGGUUGUAAAGCACUUUCAGUAGGGAGGAAAGGUUAGUAGUUAAUACCUGCUAGCUGUGACGUUACCUACAGAAGAAGGACCGGCUAACUCCGUGCCAGCAGCCGCGGUAAUACGGAGGGUCCAAGCGUUAAUCGGAAUUACUGGGCGUAAAGCGUGCGCAGGCGGUUUGUUAAGCGAGAUGUGAAAGCCCCGGGCUCAACCUGGGAAUUGCAUUUCGAACUGGCAAACUAGAGUCUUGUAGAGGGGGGUAGAAUUCCAGGUGUAGCGGUGAAAUGCGUAGAGAUCUGGAGGAAUACCGGUGGCG